rnacentral:tRNA from 1 species
AUAUGUGUAGUAUAAUAAAUAUAGUAGGUUUAGGACCUGAAGAUUUUAGCAUAUU